rnacentral:rRNA from 1 species
CCUACGGGUGGCAGCAGUGGGGGAUAUUGCACAAUGGGGGGAACCCUGAUGCAGCGACGCCGCGUGGGUGAAGGAGUGCUUCGGCAUGUAAAGCCCUAUCGGCAGGGAAGAAGCAAGACGGUACCUGACUAAGAAGCCCCGGCUAACUCCGUGCCAGCAGCCGCGGUAAUACGGAGGAUGCGAGCGUUAUCCGGAUUCAUUGGGUUUAAAGGGUGCGCAGGCGGGCCUUUAAGCCGGCGGUGAAAUCGCGGGGCUCAACCCCGCCGAGCCGUCGGAACUGGGGGCCUUGAGUGCGGCGGAGGCAUGCGGAAUGCGCGGUGUAGCGGUGAAAUGCAUAGAUAUCGCGCAGAACCCCGAUUGCGAAGGCAGUGUGCCGUGCCGCCACUGACGCUGAGGCACGAAAGCGCGGGGAUCGAACAGGAUUAGAUACCCUUGUAGUC